rnacentral:rRNA from 1 species
AUUGAACGCUGGCGGCAUGCCUUACACAUGCAAGUCGAACGGCAGCACGGGAGCAAUCCUGGUGGCGAGUGGCGAACGGGUGAGUAAUAUAUCGGAACGUGCCCAGUCGUGGGGAUAACGUAGCGAAAGCUACGCUAAUACCGCAUACGAUCUAUGGAUGAAAGCGGGGGAUCGCAAGACCUCGCGCGAUUGGAGCGGCCGAUAUCAGAUUAGGUAGUUGGUGAGGUAAAGGCUCACCAAGCCGACGAUCUGUAGCUGGUCUGAGAGGACGACCAGCCACACUGGGACUGAGACAGGCCCAGACUCCUACGGGAGCAGCAGUGGGGAAUUUUGGACAAUGGGCGCAAGCCUGAUCCAGCAAUG